rnacentral:ncRNA from 1 species
CCCUGCGGGAGAGAUGACUUAGAGUCAUCGCCGAAGGAGCAACCACCUCGGAAACUCUCAGGCACCCGGACCGCAGGAGG